GUUUCCGUAGUGUACUGGUUAUCACGUUCGCCUCACACGCGAAAGGUCCCCAGUUCGAAACUGGGCGGGAACA